CGUUGUAUCUGGGCUACUCUCCAGUUUGAUGGCGUUGUUCAAGAUUAACGUCAGUUUGUAAAUACUUCAUCUUACAUUUCUUCAAAUGAGACGGGAUGUUUAUUCGCAGUUGUUCAGCGGCGGAACGCGAGGACAGUUUCAAAGAGGCGGGAAGUAAAUAAACGCCUGAACUUGUGUUUCCGGUUUCAAGUAGACCGCCAUUAAACUCCGAGAAAGAGAAAGUGAAACUAGUAAAAUAGGUUCAAUUUUGUGAAAAGAGCAGGAACUAACACUUACAGAAACUGAGAAAAAGUUUGACAGUUUUUGUUCCACUGAAUCGUCUGAAACAAUCAAUAAAUUCAUUGUGAAGUAUUUUGUAGGUGAUAUUCUAGUCAGUAAAGAGGAACAUCAACAGUUCUUGACAGGUGUUCAGUGGACUGUUCAGAUGAUGUCAUGGACUCCACAAAGGAUCUCAGUGGACAGACAGACACAGGGAAGGUCAAGAGUGUCAUUCAUGGAGAAUCUCCUGAAUCCAGCUGUGUGUCCAUGAAGAGUGACCGGUCAAUGGAUCAUCCACCUGGAUUCAGUUCAGGAGCCCCUUGUGCUGAUGUGAG